rnacentral:rRNA from 1 species
CCUACGGGUGGCAGCAGUGGGGAAUAUUGCACAAUGGGGGAAACCCUGAUGCAGCGACGCCGCGUGAGUGAAGAAGUAUUUCGGUAUGUAAAGCUCUAUCAGCAGGGAAGAAAUACUGACCUUACGGUCAGCAGACGGUACCUGACUAAGAAGCCCCGGCUAACUACGUGCCAGCAGCCGCGGUAAUACGUAGGGGGCAAGCGUUAUCCGGAUUUACUGGGUGUAAAGGGAGCGUAGACGGCAGCGCAAGCCUGAAGUGAAAGCCCAUGGCUUAACACUGGAACUGCUUUGGAAACGGUGCGGCUGGAGUGCAGGAGGGGCAGGCGGAAUUCCUGGUGUAGCGGUGAAAUGCGUAGAUAUUAGGAGGAACACCGGUGGCGAAGGCGGCCUGCUGGACUGUGACUGACGUUGAGGCUCGAAAGCGUGGGGAGCAAACAGGAUUAGAUACCCCAGUAGUC